rnacentral:rRNA from 1 species
ACUGCUCAGUAACACGUGGACAACCUGCCCUUAGGUUGGGUAUAAACCCGGGAAACUGGGUAUAAUACCCGAUAGGUCUCGAUUGCUGGAAUGCAUCGAGAUUUAAAGCUCCGGCGCCUAAGGAUGGGUCUGCGGCCUAUCAGGUAGUAGUGGGUGUAGCGUACCUACUAGCCUACGACGGGUACGGGUUGUGAGAGCAAGAGCCCGGAGAUGGAUUCUGAGACACGAAUCCAGGCCCUACGGGGUGCAGCAGGCGCGAAAACUUUACAAUGCUGGCAACAGCGAUAAGGGAACCUCGAGUGCCAGGUUACAAAUCUGGCUGUCGAGAUGCCUAAAAAGCAUUUCAUAGCAAGGGCCGGGCAAGACCGGUGCCAGCCGCCGCGGUAACACCGGCGGCUCGAGUGGUAACCGUUAUUAUUGGGUCUAAAGGGUCUGUAGCCGGCCGGAUAAGUCUCUUGAGAAAUCUGGCAGCUUAACUGUCAGGCUUUCAGGAGAUACUGUCUGGCUCGAGGCCGGGAGAGGUGAGAGGUACUUCAGGGGUAGGGGUGAAAUCUUGUAAUCCUUGAAGGACCACCAGUGGCGAAGGCGUCUCACCAGAACGGACCUGACGGCAACGGACGAAAGCUAGGGGCACGAACCGGAUUAGAUACCCGGGUAGUCCUAGCCUAAACGAUACUCGCUAGGUGUCGGCCACGGUGCGACCGUUGUCGGUGCCGUAGGGAAGCCGUGAAGCGAGCCACCUGGGAAGUACGGCCGCAAGGCUGAAACUUAAAGGAAUUGGCGGGGGAGCAC